UACGGAGGAUGCGAGCGUUAUCCGGAUUCAUUGGGUUUAAAGGGUGCGCAGGCGGACUGAUAAGUCAGUGGUGAAAUCCCAUAGCUCAACUAUGGAACUGCCAUUGAUACUGUCAGACUAGAGUGUAUUUGACGUAGGCGGAAUGCGACAUGUAGCGGUGAAAUGCUUAGAUAUGUCGCAGAACACCGAUUGCGAAGGCAGCUUACGAAACUACAACUGACGCUCAUGCACGAAAGCGUGGGGAUCAAACAGG
rnacentral:rRNA from 1 species